rnacentral:rRNA from 1 species
GACGAACGCUGGCGGCGUGCCUAAUACAUGCAAGUUGAGCGAUGAAGAUUGGUGCUUGCACCAAUUUGAAGAGCAGCGAACGGGUGAGUAACGCGUGGGGAAUCUGCCUUUGAGCGGGGGACAACAUUUGGAAACGAAUGCUAAUACCGCAUAACAACUUUAAACAUAAGUUUUAAGUUUGAAAGAUGCAAUUGCAUCACUCAAAGAUGAUCCCGCGUUGUAUUAGCUAGUUGGUGAGGUAAAGGCUCACCAAGGCGAUGAUACAUAGCCGACCUGAGAGGGUGAUCGGCCACAUUUGGACUGAGACACGGCCCAAGCUCCUACGGGAGGCAGCAGUAGGGAAUCUUCGGCAAUGGACGAAAGUCUGGCCGAGCAACGCCGCGUGAGGGAAGAAGGUUUUCGGAUCGUAAAACUCUGUUGGUAGGGAAGAACGUUGGUGAGAGUGGAAAGCUCAUCAAGUGACGGUAACUACCCAGAAAGGGACGGCUAACUACGUG